rnacentral:rRNA from 1 species
AAGUACAGCCAUACCACCCUGAACAAGCCCAAUCCCAUCUGAUCUCGGAAGCUAAGCAGGGUUGGACCUGGUUAGUAGUUGGAUGGGAGACCACCUAAGAAGACCAGGAGCUGUAGGUG